rnacentral:lncRNA from 1 species
AAAGAAGCAAAAGAAAGAAUAUACAGAGAGCUUGCAUGAGGAAGAGGAGAGAAAGAAAAGAAAAGAAAGAGAAGGUAGAGAGGCAUACUACGGGAGAGGAAAAGAAAGGGAGAGAGAGAGCGAGUGUGGUGGACCCCACCUACGACUCACCUUGCUGAUCCCACCAUCUCUUUUUACAGCUUUCAUCUAAAGCCGAAGCCCGUUCAUCUCCUUCGUCUUUCUAAGUCUAUUUCAUGUCUCCUAUCUAAUUCACUUAGAUAUAAUCUUCCCUUCGCUUCCAUUUUAAUCUCAUCCUAAUCCAUCGAACGAACUAUGUAAUAUCGGGCUAUAUUUAAUUAUUCUAUUUAUCCAAAAAUAUUUAUUUACUCAAAACUAUUUAUAAUUAAAUACUUAUUUACUCCCUCC